UACGUAGGGGGCAAGCGUUAUCCGGAUUUACUGGGUGUAAAGGGAGCGUAGACGGUAGUGCAAGUCUGGAGUGAAAGGCGGGGGCCCAACCCCCGGACUGCUCUGGAAACUGUGCGACUAGAGUGCAGGAGAGGUGAGUGGAAUUCCUAGUGUAGCGGUGAAAUGCGUAGAUAUUAGGAGGAACACCAGUGGCGAAGGCGGCUUACUGGACUGUAACUGACGUUGAGGCUCGAAAGCGUGGGGAGCAAACAGG
rnacentral:rRNA from 1 species